rnacentral:rRNA from 1 species
UACGGAGGGUGCAAGCGUUAUCCGGAUUUAUUGGGUUUAAAGGGUCCGUAGGCGGAAUAAUAAGUCAGUGGUGAAAGUCUGUGGCUCAACCAUAGAAUUGCCAUUGAUACUGUUGUUCUUGAGUUAUUAUGAAGUGGUUAGAAUAUGUAGUGUAGCGGUGAAAUGCAUAGAUAUUACAUAGAAUACCGAUUGCGAAGGCAGAUCACUAAUAAUACACUGACGCUGAUGGACGAAAGCGUAGGUAGCGAACAGG